GUGAAGAACGUAGCGAAAUGCGAUAAGUAAUGUGAAUUGCAGAAUUCAGUGAAUCAUCGAAUCUUUGAACGCACAUUGCGCCCGCCAGUAUUCUGGCGGGCAUGCCUGUCCGAGCGUCAUUUCAACCCUCGAACCCCUCCGGGGGGUCGGCGUUGGGGACCUCGGGAGCCCCUAAGACGGGAUCCCGGCCCCGAAAUACAGUGGCGGUCUCGCCGCAGCCUCUCCUGCGCAGUAGUUUGCACAACUCGCACCGGGAGCGCGGCGCGUCCACGUCCGUAAAACACCCAACUUCUGAAAUGUUGACCUCGGAUCAGGUAGGAAUACCCGCUGAACUUAAGCAUAUCAAUAAGCGGAGGA
rnacentral:misc_RNA from 1 species